rnacentral:rRNA from 1 species
UGGGGAAUAUUGGACAAUGGGCGAAAGCCUGAUCCAGCCAUGCCGCGUGAGUGAUGAAGGCCUUAGGGUUGUAAAACUCUUUCGCUGGGGAAGAUAAUGACGGUACCCAGUAAAGAAGCCCCGGCUAAUUUCGUGCCAGCAGCCGCGGUAAUACGAAAGGGGCUAGCGUUGUUCGGAAUUACUGGGCGUAAAGCGCGCGUAGGCGGCAUGCCAAGUUGGGGGUGAAAUCCCUGGGCUCAACCCAGGAACUGCCUCCAAAACUGGCAAGCUAGAGGUUGUGAGAGGAUAGUGGAAUUCCGAGUGUAGAGGUGAAAUUCGUAGAUAUUCGGAGGAACACCAGUGGCGAAGGCGGCUCACUGGCUCGAUACUGACGCUGAGGUGCGAAAGUGUGGGGAGCAAACAGGAUUAGAUACCCCCGUAGUCC